GGUCAUGUAGCUCGGUGGGAGAGCACUCACUUUGCAUGUAAGAGGCCCUGGGUUCAACCCCCAGCAUCUCCA
rnacentral:tRNA from 1 species